GCUAAAUGAACGCUAACGUCUUUAGCUUCUGUGUGUUGCUUUUCUAACUCCACGGGGAAGCGCAAGUUCAACUGCCAGUGGUUGGAGAAAAGCACCGUCCACCGGUGGUAACCGGUGGGGGGGGGGGGUGUUUUUGAAGCCCCGCUUGCAAACGGCCGCCAUCCGCUCGGUGUUCGCCGCCGCUGCGGCGACAUCAGGGAUACUUCGCCUCCGGGCGACGCUCGGGUCCACGCCGGCCCUGAAAGCGGAGGUGCUCCGGGCGCUCAAUGCUGCAGCUAAACACCGUUCCUACAGCACCAACCGGCGAGGGCCUUGUUCCCUGUUUCUCAGGGGUCGCCGCAAUAGAUUGCACAGUUUUCAUCGGUACCCUGUGAGGGCACAGCACCAAUGGUGGCCGUUGUCAACCCGGGCCUCAGCCAAUCCCGUACGGAGCCUCAACUGAUCCGGUAUGGUCUUGUCAAUCCACAUAAUAAUUUGGCAGAAUUUUACAUCGGAUGCCCUUCCUGACGCAACCACUAACCCUGUGGACGGGGGCACAGACUGCUGAGAUGCUGCAGCACAUUUUCCACGGGGACCUCCUCGGCUCCUUCAAACUCUCCGCCGAUAGUCACCAGGCACAGCCCCGACCAGCGCGCCCCUGAACCGGGACAGACACCACCUCGCCCGCUCCUAUCGCUUUCACCAUGGGCGCCGCCAUUCAUUCAACGACGGAGAGGGAGCUGUGUAGUGGAAAUGCACUGCAGACGGAGGUGUAAUAACAACAAUACAAAAGUCAACCUGCGGUUUUAAUACAAUAAAGCACGCU